ACUGGGACUGAGACACGGCCCAGACUCCUACGGGAGGCAGCAGCUAAGAAUCUUCCGCAAUGGGCGAAAGCCUGACGGAGCGACGCCGCGUGAACGAGGAAGGCCGAAAGGUUGUAAAGUUCUUUUCUUAGGGAAGAAUAAUGCAAGGAGUGGAAAGCUUUGCAGAUGACAUUAACUGAGGAAUAAGCCCCGGCCAAUUACGUGCCAGCAGCCGCGGUAAUACGUAUGGGGCGAGCGUUGCUCGGAAUUAUUGGGCGUAAAGGGCGUGUAGGCGGUUUUAUAAGCCUGGUGUGAAAUACCACAGCUCAACUGUGGAUACGCGCUGGGAACUGUAAGACUAGAGUUCAGGAGGGGAAGCUGGAAUUCCUGGUGUAGGGGUGAAAUCUGUAGAUAUCAGGAAGAACACCGAUGGCGAAGGCAAGCUUCUAUCCAUGGACUGACGCUGAGGCGCGAAAGCGUGGGGAGCGAACAGGAUUAGAUACCCUGGUAGUCCACGCUGUAAACGAUGUGCACUGGGUGUAGGGGGCGUUGAGCUCUCUGUGCCGUAGCUAACGCGUUAAGUGCACCGCCUGGGGAGUAUGCUCGCAAGGGUGAAACUCAAAGGAAUUGACGGGGGCCCGCACAAGCGGUGGAGCAUGUGGUUUAAUUCGACGAUACGCGAGGAACCUUACCAGGGCUUGACAUGUACUUGAAGGCUUAAGAGAUUAAGUCGACCUUUAGGGGACAGGUACACAGGUGCUGCAUGGCCGUCGUCAGCUCGUGUCGUGAGAUGUUGGGUUAAGUCCCGCAACGAGCGCAACCCUUACUGUCUGUUACCAGCAGGCCUUCGGGCGCUGGGGACUCAGGCAGAACUGCCGGUGACAAACCGGAGGAAGGUGGGGAUGACGUCAAGUCAUCAUGGCCCUUAUGUCCUGGGCUACACACGUGCUACAAUGGCAGGUACAAAGCGUUGCGAGACGGUGACGUCCUUAGCAAAUCGCAAAAAGCCUGUCUCAGUUCGGAUUGGAGUCUGAAACUCGACUCCAUGAAGUUGGAAUCGCUAGUAAUCGCGCAUCAGAAUGGCGCGGUGAAUAUGUUCCCGGGCCUUGUACACACCGCCCGUCACACCACCCGAGUUGGGGGUACCCGAAGUCGCUAGUCUAACUGUAAAGAGGACGGCGCCGAAGGUAUGCCUGGUAAGGGGGGUGAAGUCGUAACAAGGUA
rnacentral:rRNA from 1 species